rnacentral:rRNA from 1 species
AUUGAACGCUGGCGGCAGGCUUAACACAUGCAAGUCGAACGAGAGGCGGACGGGUGAGUAAUGUCUGGGAAACUGCCUGAUGGAGGGGGAUAACUACUGGAAACGUUAGCUAAUACCGCAUACCAUCGGAUGUGCCCAGAUGGGAUUAGCUAGUGGGUGGGGUAAUGGCUAACCUAGGCGACGAUCCCUAGCUGGUCUGAGAGGAUGACCAGCCACACUGGAACUGAGACACGGUCCAGACUCCUACGGGAGGCAGCAGUGGGGAAUAUUGCACAAUGGGCGCAAGCCUGAUACAGCCAUGCCGCGUGUGUGAAGAAGGCCUUCGGGUUGUAAAGCACUUUCAGCGAGGAGGCGUUACUCGCAGAAGAAGCACCGGCUAACUCCGUGCCAGCAGCCGCGGUAAUUC